UCCACUUCUGGAUUGCUUGAACCAAUGCCAUCAGCUCCCUCUCAUACACAAAUUUUUGUUGAGCCCUCAAGGACAGACCUUGACUCCAAAAAGCUAGUGGCCUUCCCUCCUGCAUCAAGACUGCCCCUAACCCCUUGCUAGAUGCAUCUGUUUCUAUUACAAACUCCUUAUCAAAGUCAGGAACAACUAGUAAGGGUAGGGUGGCCAUAGCCUUCUUUAACUCUUCAAAGACAGUAGUAGCUUCAAGAGUCCAAUUGAUGAGUCCUUUUUUAGCAAAUCAGUCAGGGGUUUAGCAAUCUUCCCAUAGUUUUGGACAAAUUUUCUAUAAUAUCCAGUGAGGCCUAAGAACCCUCUUAAGCUCUUGAUGUUGGUAGGUAUAGGAGGUGCUAAAUUUGAGUUGAGUAUCAGCCACCCUGAAUAUUUCUUUCCAGAAUUGAUUGAGGAACACAGAGUCUCUGUCAGAAAUUAUAAUAGUAGGGAAACCAUGUAGCUUAACCACCUCCUUCAGAAACAGGGUAGCUACAUCCUUGGUUGAGUAGGGAUAACCCAGAGCAAACAUAUGAGCAUGCUUGGAUAACCUAUCCACCACCACAAAAACAGUAUCCUUGCCCCUGACCUUAGGUAGUCCUCCAAUGAAGUCCAUAGAGACAUCCACCCAUACUUAUUGAGGUAUGGGAAUAGGUUGUAAUAACCCAACAGGGGCCAAUGUAGAAUAUUUGCUUAUUUGACACACCUCACAAUUCUCCACAAACCUUUUAAUGUCUGACUUCAUCCCCUCCCAAAACAAGAAGUUAGAAAUCCUUUUGUAUGUUCUGAAAUGGCCAGAAUGGCCUCCCAUAGGAGUCUCAUGGCACUCAACCAUAAUGAUAGGAAUUUUGUUGGAUGACUUAGACAAGACCAGCCUCCCCUUAUAGUAGAGAAUCCUUUUCUUCAAUUCAAAAUCAAGGUGUGAAUUAGGGGAUACAGUCAAUUCCUGAAGGACCCUCUUCCAUUUAGAAUCCUGUUGUAACUCUUUAUUACAUAGGUCUACCUCUUCACUAUUGAUAAUGGAGAUGGCAGAGUACAUAAGUUUUCUAGAGAGGGCAUCAGCCACAGAGUUUUCACUCCCUGGUUUGUAUUGAAUUUCAAAAUCUAAUCCCACCAACUUAACUGCCCAUUUGAAUUGCUCAUCAUAAAAAAGCCUCUAUUCAGUUAAAAACUUGAGACUCUUUUGAUAUGUUUUUAUGAUGAAAUGUCUUCCUACCACAUAAUGCCUCCACUUCUGGAUUGCUUGAACCAAUGCCAUCAGCUCCCUCUCAUACACAAAUUUUUGUUGAGCCCUCAAGGACAGACCUUGACUCCAAAAAGCUAGUGGCCUUCCCUCCUGCAUCAAGACUGCCCCUAACCCCUUGCUAGAUGCAUCUGUUUCUAUUACAAACUCCUUAUCAAAGUCAGGAACAACUAGUAAGGGUAGGGUGGCCAUAGCCUUCUUUAACUCUUCAAAGACAGUAGUAGCUUCAAGAGUCCAAUUGAUGAGUCCUUUUUUAGCAAAUCAGUCAGGGGUUUAGCAAUCUUCCCAUAGUUUUGGACAAAUUUUCUAUAAUAUCCAGUGAGGCCUAAGAACCCUCUUAAGCUCUUGAUGUUGGUAGGUUGAGGCCAAGUCAUCAUAUCCUCCACCUUAGAUAAGUCAGCAAAUGCCCCCUGCUCAGAAAUGAUGUGGCAUGGGUACUCAAUGCUAUUCUGGCCAAAACUGCAUUUCUUCUGGUUAGCUUUCAAAGAAUGUCCUGCUAGUAGUGCCAAAACAAUUUGCAAAUGUUGGCUAUGAGUCUUCAAAUCCGAACUAUAUACUAGGAUGUCAUCAAAGAACACCAGAGUAAACUUCCUCAAAUAAGGCCUCAAGAUCUCAUUCAUCAGUGAUUGAAAGGUAGAGGGGGCAUUGGUCAGCCCAAAUGGCAUGACCAAGAACUCAUAGUAUCCCUCAUGAGUUCUAAAGGUUGUCUUCUCAACAUCUUCCUCCUUCAUCCUUAUCUGAUGAUAGCCUGAUUUAAGGUCUAGCUUAGAGAACACCUUUGCACCCCUAGUUCAUCAAGUAGUUCCUCAACCAAUGGAAUUGGAAACUUAUUUGGCACAGUAAUUUUGUUAAGUACCCUAUAGUCUACACAAAACCUCCAUCUCCCAUCCUUUUUCUUUACUAGAAUAACAGGGCUAGAGUAGGGGCUGAUGCUAGGUCUAAUUACCCCUGCAGCCACCAAUCUUUCAAUUCCAGCCUUUUGAUAAGUGGACACCUGUAAGGUCUGAUAUUAGGUACCUCAGUUCCUUCCUUCAAAUGAAUGGCAUGGUCAUGCCUUCUUAAGGGUGGGAGCCCUUGAGGAUCCUGAAAAACAUCUUGAUACUGGAGUAGCACCUGUUGCAAUUCUAUUGGCACAACCUCCUUAGUCUAGGAAUGCUGAUGAGUAUUACACUGGAUCAUUAUGCCCUCCCCUUCCUCCAUAAGGACCUGCAUGAGGGCCCUCAAGGACAAUUCUGUCCUGAUCAAGGUGAGAUCUCCCAUCAAAGUAAAGGUGGACCCUGCCUUAUUGAUGUUUAGAACCAUCUUCCCAAAGUCAGCACUGACCUCACCCAACCCUACUAGCCAUUCAGUACCUAACACCAGAUCCACUCCCUUCAACCCAAAUAGGUAAAAAUCCUGAAUCACCUCCAACCCUUGUAGAAUCAGUUUGAGUUGUGAACACCUCCCAUGACAUUUCACCUUGUGUCCAUACCCAAACUCCACCAUAUAGGCUUUAGUCUCUUGCACUUUCAGCUUCAUACUCUCUACUACUUCCUUGGCUAUGAAAUUAUGUGAGGCUCCACAAUCAAUCAUCGCCACCACUGAUCUACUACCCAGAGUCCCCUUAAUCUUCAAAGACUUAGUGGAAGUGAACCCUUUCAUUGAGUAAAUGGAUAGUUGUAGGGAAUUGAGGACAUCCUGCUCUUGCCCCACCUUUAAUUUCCCAUUUGACUCCUCCCCCUCACUAAGAAUAAGCAUCCUUAGUUGUUUAUUCUUACAAAUGUGAUCCCUAGUGAAGGGUUCAUCACACCUGAAGCAAAGUCCCUUUUUUCUUUUCUCCUUCAUCUCAACACUGGUAAGCCUCCUAUACUCCUCUCUGUUCCUGGAACUAUCAACUUCUUGAACAGUUCUAGCACUACCAACUACACUACUAACUGAUGAUGACCCCUCUCCUGUUACUACCAGUAGUAGAUGGAUCCAAUGAUACCACCCUAUUGUAAGUUGGGUUCUUGUAUGGAGUCUCAGAUUUAGCAUAACCCCCACUAGGCCUCCUAUUCAUUACUGUAUUUUUCUAUUCAAUGAGUAUGGCUUUUUGUAUCACUUCAGGUAAAGUUCCCAACUCAUACAACCUUACCUCUCCCCUCACCUCCUCUUUCAACCCAUUUAGGAAGAUCCCUCUUACAAAAUCUUGAUUGAUUUCUUGCAAAGCCCCUGCAUACUUCUCAAAUUCUUCUACGUAUGCUUCCACACUACCCUAUUGUUUUAAGGACAACAACAAUUCAAAGGGGGUUUGUAUCAUAGAGGGUUGAAAACGUCUUACCACUACUAUCUCGAAGCUACUCCACGUGGAUGAGGGGUUGCAUCAUUCCCACCAUUGGAACCAGCUAAGAGCCUUUCCAUCAAGGGCAACCAUAGUUGCUUGCAUCCUCUCCUCCUCUGUGAUGGCUCACAUCGCAAAAUAUCUCUCCAAUUUCUGCACCCAACCAUGAGCAUCAUCACCGUUGAAAAUUGGAAUCUCAAGUCUCCUCCACUUAUCGUGACUUGAAGGUAGUUUGUGGCUUUCUACCUCUUCCUCGUUUUCGCUACUCCUCUCUGUGGAUUAAUUACCACUUGAAAUCCCUAGUUUCGAGGCUAUAGCUUCUAGCAAAUCUUCUGUUUUCUUCAUGCGUGCCUCAUUGAGCUCCACUCGCAUUUGAAGC
rnacentral:lncRNA from 1 species